rnacentral:tRNA from 1 species
GGGCCCGUAGCUCAGCGGUAGAGCACUUCCAUGGCAUGGAAGGGGCCAGGGGUUCGAUCCCCCUCGGGUCCA